rnacentral:misc_RNA from 1 species
AGUAUCUAUACGUUGUGCUGUUUUUUAUUUCUUCUGAAUUCUGCACAGGUUAAGUAGUUUUCGCUCUAAUGGUGAAUGAAAUGGUGAUAAAGUUGCUUACUGGAUCGAGAUGAUAUAGUUGAGGGCGAGGAGCUACUUAAAGUUUUGGAAUUGGCUAAAAAAAUAUUGAAUCGCCCGAACUUACGGAGGGAAGAUGUCUUCUGUGCGAGUGCACUUGCAGAAAUAGUUUAUGUAAUUCAGUUCAAACAAUCAGAAAACGGACAAUGUAGACAAGAGUUCUGGGUGAGACCAAAAGGCAACAAAAUACUUCCUAUGGAGUGCAGUGAUAGUUGACGCUAGCCUGAGUGUAAAGGGUUCCUUACAAACACUCCAACAUGUUCAACAUUCAAAAUAUCUGACCGUUUUAUUUUGUGAAGCCAGACUGCAUAUCCUAAAUAAACUGUUCUCUCGAAAUCCA